UGGGGAAUAUUGGACAAUGGGCGAAAGCCUGAUCCAGCCAUGCCGCGUGUGUGAAGAAGGUCUUCGGAUUGUAAAGCACUUUAAGUUGGGAGGAAGGGCAGUAAGCGAAUACCUUGCUGUUUUGACGUUACCGACAGAAUAAGCACCGGCUAACUCUGUGCCAGCAGCCGCUGGAAUACAGAGGGUGCAAGCGUUAAUCGGAAUUACUGGGCGUAAAGCGCGCGUAGGUGGUUCGUUAAGUUGAAUGUGAAAGCCCCGGGCUCAACCUGAGAUAGGCAUCCAAAACUGGAGAGCUAGAGUAGGGCAGAGGGUGGUGGAAUUGCCUGUGUAGCGGUGAAAUGCGUAGAUAUAGGAAGGAACACCAGUGGCGAAGGCGACCACCUGGGCUCAUACUGACACUGAGGUGCGAAAGCGUGGGGAGCAAACAGG
rnacentral:rRNA from 1 species